rnacentral:rRNA from 1 species
GCCCUUCGGGGUACUCGAGCGGCGAACGGGUGAGUAACACGUGAGCAACCUGCCCCAAGCUUUGGGAUAACCCCGGGAAACCGGGGCUAAUACCGAAUAGGACCUGGCCUCGCAUGAGGUUGGGUGGAAAGUUUUUCGGCUUGGGAUGGGCUCGCGGCCUAUCAGCUUGUUGGUGGGGUGAUGGCCUACCAAGGCGACGACGGGUAGCCGGCCUGAGAGGGCGACCGGCCACACUGGGACUGAGACACGGCCCAGACUCCUACGGGAGGCAGCAGUGGGGAAUAUUGCACAAUGGGCGGAAGCCUGAUGCAGCGACGCCGCGUGAGGGAUGACGGCCUUCGGGUUGUAAACCUCUUUCAGCAGGGACGAAGCGAGAGUGACGGUACCUGCAGAAGAAGCACCGGCCAACUACGUGCCAGCAGCCGCGGUAAGACGUAGGGUGCGAGCGUUGUCCGGAUUUAUUGGGCGUAAAGAGCUCGUAGGCGGCUUGUCGCGUCGACUGUGAAAACCCGCAGCUCAACUGCGGGCCUGCAGUCGAUACGGGCAGGCUAGAGUUCGGUAGGGGAGACUGGAAUUCCUGGUGUAGCGGUGAAAUGCGCAGAUAUCAGGAGGAACACCGAUGGCGAAGGCAGGUCUCUGGGCCGAUACUGACGCUGAGGAGCGAAAGCGUGGGGAGCGAACAGGAUUAGAUACCCUGGUAGUCCACGCUGUAAACGUUGGGCGCUAGGUGUGGGGGGCCUCUCCGG